GACGAACGCUGGCGGCGUGCUUAACACAUGCAAGUCGAACGGAAAGGCCCUGCUUUUGUGGGGUUCUCGAGUGGCGAACGGGUGAGUAACACGUGAGUAACCUGCCCUUGACUUUGGGAUAACUUCAGGAAACUGGGGCUAAUACCGGAUAGGAGCUCCUGCUGCAUGGUGGGGGUUGGAAAGUUUCGGCGGUUGGGGAUGGACUCGCGGCUUAUCAGCUUGUUGGUGGGGUAGUGGCUUACCAAGGCUUUGACGGGUAGCCGGCCUGAGAGGGUAACCGGCGACAUUGGGACUGAGAUACGGCCCAGACUCCUACGGGAGGCAGCAGUGGGGAAUAUUGCACAAUGGGCGGAAGCCUGAUGCAGCAACACCGCGUGCGGGAUGACGGCCUUCGGGUUGUAAACCGCUUUCGCCUGUGACGAAGCGUGAGUGACGGUAAUGGGUAAAGAAGCACCGGCUAACUACGUG
rnacentral:rRNA from 1 species